GGGCUCCUGUUCCUUCUUCCUGCAGGGCUCCUGCUGCGGCCACCUGACCUACGCCCUGGGCUCCGGCUCCUAGUUCUUCUACCUCGCUCUUCGUGGUAACGAUCCCUGUCAUCAUAAUGCCUUCCAUUGCCACGACCACCAUGUGGACGAUCUUCAUACCCCCGAGAAGCCCUAACGGGACUGCGGCUCCUGCUGUGCCUCCGCUUGGAUCUCCCAAAUAGC
rnacentral:misc_RNA from 1 species